AUUGAACGCUGGCGGCAUGCCUUACACAUGCAAGUCGAACGGUAACGCGGGGCAACCUGGCGACGAGUGGCGAACGGGUGAGUAACGCAUCGGAACGUGCCCAGUAGUGGGGGAUAGCCCGGCGAAAGCCGGAUUAAUACCGCAUACGACCUACGGGUGAAAGCGGGGGAUCGCAAGACCUCGCGCUAUUGGAGCGGCCGAUGUCAGAUUAGGUAGUUGGUGGGGUAAAGGCCUACCAAGCCGACGAUCUGUGGCUGGUCUGAGAGGACGACCAGCCGAACUGGGACUGAGACACGGCCCAGCCUCCUACGGGAGGCAGCAGUGGGGAAUUUUGGACAAUGGGCGCAAGCCUGAUCCAGCCAUGCCGCGUGCGGGAAGAAGGCCUUCGGGUUGUAAACCGCUUUUGUCAGGGAAGAAACGCUCUGGGCUAAUACCCCGGGGUAAUGACGGUACCUGAAGAAUAAGCACCGGCUAACUACGUGCCAGCAGCCGCCGUAACAC
rnacentral:rRNA from 1 species